UUAGGAUCGCGCUGACACCACAGUGCGAACAGAGGCAGCUGUUGUCUGUGUUUUUUCUUUCUCUGAGUUGCAAAAGCAAGCAGAGCUACUAGCUACUCUAUUUGACUGAUGUAGCUGGCAUGGAUCAGAUGGUGACAGGGGUCCCAGUAUGGUCAGACAGACAGAGAAGACCAGUCUACGGAGCUCAGAGGACCUGAGCCCUAGGACCAUGCCUCAGGACUACCUGGCCUGAUGAUGCCUUGCUGUCUCCAGUCCACCUGGUCAUGCUGCUGCUCCAGUUUCAACUGUUCUGCCUGCAGCUAUGGAACCCUGACCUGUCCACCGGAUGUGCUACCUUGUCCCAGCCCCACUGUUUUCAACGCUCUCUCUCUAACGUACCUGCUGUCUCGAACUCUGAAUGCCCGGCUAUGAAAAGCCAACUGACAUUUACUCCUGAGGUGCUGACCUGUUGCACCCUCUACAACCACUGUGCUUAUUAUUAUUUGACACUGCUGGUCAUCUAUGAACAUUUGAACAUCUUGCUUGGCUGGGUUUCUGUAGAGCACUUUGACAUUGGCUGAUGUAAAAAGGGCUUUAUAAAUACAUUUGAUUUAUUUGUUCAUCACUUUUGAAAUGUACAGUGACAGAAUUCAGAACAUGGGCCGUUCUUACAGUAUUCUCCCAGUACACCAAGUCAGAACUCUAGGACAAAUAAAGGGGGCAUAUAAGCAAACAAGCUUUUACAAUAUUGGAUGAUUACAUUUUUCUCUAAAACAGGCUAUAGGCUACAUGUGCACCACCAAGUCAGAACAGUGUGUUAAGUUAUGAGGGGGAAAGGGACCAAAUGAUUAGGAUGCGGAAUAUGGGCUACUAACUAGAGGUGGACCGAUUUUAUCGGCAUGGCUGAUUACUUAGGGCCGAUUUCAAGUUUUAACAACAAUUGGUCAUCUGCAAUUUUGGAUGCUGAUUACAUUGCAUUCCACUAGGAAACUGCGUGGCAGGCUGACCACCUGUUACGCGAGUGCAGCAAGGAGCCAAGGUAAGUUUCGAGCUAGCAUUAAACUUAUAAAAAAACAACUAGUGAUUAAGUGAAGAUUGAUUACCUCACAUUGUUGAUGAUAUUACUAGGUUAACUAGCUUGUCUUGCGUUGCAUAUAAUCAAUGUGGUGCCUGUUGAUUAUCAUCGAAUCACAGCCUACUUCGCCAAACGGGUGAUGAUUUAAGAAAAGCACAAUUGUUGCACGACUGUUCCUAACCAUAAACAUCCAUGCCUUUCUUAAAAUCAAUACACAGAAGUGUAUUUUUUUUAACCUGCAUAUAUAGUUAAACGAAAUUCAUGUUAGCAAGCAAUAUUCACUAUGGAAAUUGUGUAAUUUCUCUUGAGUUCAUUGCAUACAGUUUGGGUCGCCUUGCUCGUUGCGAACUCAUUUGCCAGAAUUUUACAUAAUUAUGACAUAACAUUGAAGGUUGUGCAAUGUAACAACAAUAUUUAGUCUUAGGGUUGCCACCCAUUCGA